rnacentral:rRNA from 1 species
UGGGGAAUAUUGCGCAAUGGACGCAAGUCUGACGCAGCGACGCCGCGUGAGGGAAGAAGGCCUUCGGGUCGUAAACCUCUGUCAGGAGGGAAGAAAGCGCACAGUGCUAAUCAGCUGUGUGUUGACGGUACCUCCAAAGGAAGCGCCGGCUAACUCCGUGCCAGCAGCCGCGGUAAUACGGAGGGCGCAAGCGUUAAUCGGAAUCACUGGGCGUAAAGCGCGCGUAGGCUGUGAUGUAAGUCAGAGGUGAAAGCCCGCAGCUCAACUGCGGAAUUGCCUUUGAAACUGCGUUACUUGAAUCCAGGAGAGGGUGGCGGAAUUCCGGGUGUAGGAGUGAAAUCCGUAGAUAUCCGGAGGAACACCAGCGGCGAAGGCGGCCACCUGGCCUGGUAUUGACGCUGAGGUGCGAAAGCGUGGGGAGCAAACAGG